ACAUCCUCCCGGUAGACAUGGUGGUGGUGCUUGCCCUGGUGGUGAUCAGAAGAGAGGAGGAGAGAUGUGUAUGUGCAUGGAAGAGAGCAAUUGAUGGAGCGACAAUCCGGGAGCAAAUGGAUGGUGAUAACCAUAUUGCAACGUUGAUGGUUGAGCUUUCCCGUUGUCAAGACUAUGAAAAUGGGGAUGGUACCACUGUUGUGGUGGUCUUGGUUGGAUAUAUUUUUUGGGCAGGUGUAGCAAGCUUCCUGUUGAUCAUGUUUUAUCUUGACACACUGCUACAUAUCUUGAAAUAGCAAGAUCGGCGCUGAAAUCCAAAUAACGGGACAACCGGACAAUGCUGAUGCGGAGACAACAAAGUGUACGUGCAGAUGACGCUGCGGCCACUGAACCCGGAUUUCACAUAGAAGCCUCCUUCUCAGGAGCUAAUUGCACAGG